UACGGGGGGAGCAAGCGUUGUUCGGAUUUACUGGGCGUAAAGGGCGCGUAGGCGGUCGUGACAAGUCACUUGUGAAAUCUCCGGGCUUAACUCGGAACGGUCAAGUGAUACUGUCGGACUAGAGUACAGAAGGGGCAACUGGAAUUCUCGGUGUAGCGGUGAAUGCGUAGAUAUCGAGAGGAACACCUGCGGCGAAGGCGGGUUGCUGGGCUGAUACUGACGCUGAGGCGCGAAAGCCAGGGGAGCGAACGGGG
rnacentral:rRNA from 1 species